ensembl:lncRNA
GAGAGAAAAUGCGUGAUUUUGGGGUGAAAGGUGGUAUAUUUGGGGGAGAAAUGUGUUAUUUCCCGGCAAAAAGUGUAUUUUUGGGUAGAUAAUGCGUGAUGUUUGGACAGAGGUGCUAUUGUUCGAGGGGGAAACUGCGUGAUUUUCGGGUGAAAACUUGUAUUUUCGGAGUGACAAUGCAUGGUUUUUGUUAGAAAAGUCAUAUUUUCCUAAAGAAAAUGCGUGAUUUUUGUGUGCACGGUGGUAUUUUCGGGAAGAAAAUGCAUGAUUUUCGGGGGAAACGUGGUAUAUUUGGGGUAGAAAUGUGUUAUCACCCAGCGACAAGUGGUGUUUUCGGGAAGGAAUGCAGGAUUUUUGGGAGACAGGUGGUAUUUUUGGAUGAAAAUGCAGGAUUUUCGAGAGAAAAGUGGUAUUUCUCGAGAGAAAAUGCGUGAUUUUGGGGUGAAAGGUGGUAUAUUUGGGGGAGAAAUGUGUUAUUUCCCGGCAAAAAGUGGUAAUUUCGGGAAGGAAGUGCAGAAUUUUUGGGCGACAGGUGGUAUUUUCGGGGUGAAAAUGUGUGAUUUUCGAAAAAAAAGUGGUAUUUCUCGAGAGAAAAUGCGUGAUUUUGGGGUGAAAGGUGGUAUAUUUGGGGUAGAUGUGUUUUUCUCCAGCAAAAAGUGGUAUUUUCGGGUAGAAAAUGUGUGAUGUUUGGACAGAGGUGCUAUUGUUCGAGGGGGAAACUGCGUGAUUUUCGGGUGAAAACUUGUAUUUUCGGAGUGACAAUGCAUGGUUUUUGUUAGAAAAGUCAUAUUUUCCUAAAGAAAAUGCGUGAUUUUUGUGUGCACGGUGGUAUUUUCGGGAAGAAAAUGCAUGAUUUUCGGGGGAAACGUGGUAUAUUUGGGGUAGAAAUGUGUUAUCACCCAGCGACAAGUGGUGUUUUCGGGAAGGAAUGCAGGAUUUUUGGGAGACAGGUGGUAUUUUUGGAUGAAAAUGCAGGAUUUUCGAGAGAAAAGUGGUAUUUCUCGAGAGAAAAUGCGUGAUUUUGGGGUGAAAGGUGGUAUAUUUGGGGGAGAAAUGUGUUAUUUCCCGGCAAAAAGUGGUAAUUUCGGGAAGGAAGUGCAGAAUUUUUGGGCGACAGGUGGUAUUUUCGGGGUGAAAAUGUGUGAUUUUCGAAAAAAAAGUGGUAUUUCUCGAGAGAAAAUGCGUGAUUUUGGGGUGAAAGGUGGUAUAUUUGGGGGAGAAAUGUGUUAUUUCCCAGCCAAAAGUGGUAUUUUCGGGUAGAAAAUGCGUGAUGUUUGGACAGAGGUGUGUUUUUUCGGGGGGAAAUGCGUGAUUUUUGGGUGAAAAGGGGCAUUUACGGUAAGGAAAUGCAUUAUUUUCUGGCGACAUGGGGAAUUUACGAAGGGAAAAUGCGUGAUUUUCGGGCAAAAACUUGUAUUUUCAGGAGUGACAGUGCAUGGUUUCCGUUAGAAAAGUUGUAUUUUCCGGAAGAAAAAGCCUGAUUUUGGGGUGAAAUGGGGUUGUUUCGCGCAGAAAAUGCGUGAUUUUCGUGUGCAAGGUGGUACUUUCGGGAAGAAAAUGUGUGAUUUCCGUGAGAAAAGUGGUAGUUCUGGAGAGAAAACGCGUGAUUUUGGGGUGAAUGGUGCUAUUUUCUUGGCGAAAACGUGAUAUUUCUGUUUGAGAAGUGGUAUUUUCUGGAGGAAAAAGCGUAAUUUUCGGCUGAAAGGUGGUACUUUCGGGGUGAAAAUGCGUGCUUUGUGAGUGAAGCGUGUUAUAUUUGGGGUAGAAAUGCGUUAUGUCCCAGCGAAAAGUGGUAUUUUCGGGAAGGAAGUGCAGAAUUUUUGGGAGACAGGUGGUAUUUUUGGAUGAAAAUGCAUGAUUUUCGAGAGAAAAGUGGUAUUUCUCGAGAGAAAAUGCGUGAUUUUGGGGUGAAAGGUGGUAUAUUUGGGGGAGAAAUGUGUUAUUUCCCAGCAAAAAGUGGUAUUUUCGGGAAGGAAGUGCAGAAUUUUUGGGAGACAGGUGGUAUUUUCGGGGUGAAAAUGCAUGAUUUUCGAGAGAAAAGUGGUAUUUCUCGAGAGAAAAUGCGUGAUUUUGGGGUGAAAGGUGGUAUAUUUGGGGUAGAUGUGUUUUUCUCCAGCAAAAAGUGGUAUUUUCGGGUAGAAAAUGUGUGAUGUUUGGACAGAGGUGCUAUUUUUCGAGGGGGAAAGGCGUGAUUUUCAAACAAAAACUUGUAGUUUCGGAGUGACAAUGCAUGGUUUUCGUUAGCAAAGUCGUAUUUUCCUAAAGAAAAUGCGUGAUUUUCUUGUGAAAGGUGGUAUUUUCGGGGUGAAAAUGCAUGAUUUUCGAAAAAAAUGUGGUAUUUCUCAAGAGAAAAUGCGUGAUUUUGGGGUGAAAGGUGGUAUAUUUGGGGGAGAAAUGUGUUAUUCUCCAGCAAAAAGUGGUAUUUUCGGGUAGAAAAUGCGUGAUGUUUGGACAGAGGUGCGUUUUUUCAGGGGAAAUGCGUGAUUUUUGGGUGAAAAGGGGCAUUUACGGUAAGGAAAUGCAUUAUUUUCUGGCGACAUGGGGAAUUUACGAAGGGAAAAUGCGUGAUUUUCGGGCAAAAACUUGUAUUUUCGGAGUGACAGUGCAUGGUUUCCGUUAGAAAAGUUGUAUUUUCCAGAAGAAAAAGACUGAUUUUGGGGUGAAAUGGGGUUGUUUCGCGCAGAAAAUGCGUGAUUUUCGUGUGCAAGGUGGUACUUUCGGGAAGAAAAUGUGUGAUUUCCGUGAG